rnacentral:rRNA from 1 species
AACGAACGCUGGCGGCAGGCCUAACACAUGCAAGUCGAACGGGAUCUUCGGAUCUAGUGGCGGACGGGUGAGUAACGCGUGGGAACGUGCCCUUUGGUUCGGAAUAGCCCUGGGAAACUGGGAGUAAUACCGGAUGUGGUUGAGAGACGAAAGAUUUAUCGCCAAAGGAACGGCCCGCGUUGGAUUAGGUAGUUGGUGGGGUAAUGGCCUACCAAGCCGACGAUCCAUAGCUGGUUUGAGAGGAUGAUCAGCCACACUGGGACUGAGACACGGCCCAGACUGCUACGGGAGGCAGCAGUGGGGAAUCUUAGACAAUGGGGGAAACCCUGAUCUAGCCAUGCCGCGUGAGCGAUGAAGGCCUUAGGGUUGUAAAGCUCUUUCGUGGGGGAAGAUAAUGACUGUACCCCAAGAAGAAGCCCCGGCUAACUCCGUGCCAGCCGCCGCCGUAACAC